GGUUAUGCUACACAAUCUAGUGUGAGCGGGAGCACUAAGCCCGAAAAAGGGGACCCCCGGAUGAUUAGCGGCGGACGGGUGAGUAAUGUCUGGGAAACUGCCUGAUGGAGGGGGAUAACUACUGGAAACGGUAGCUAAUACCGCAUAACGUCGCAAGACCAAAGAGGGGGACCUUCGGGCCUCUUGCCAUCAGAUGUGCCCAGAUGGGAUUAGCUAGUAGGUGGGGUAAUGGCUCACCUAGGCGACGAUCCCUAGCUGGUCUGAGAGGAUGACCAGCCACACUGGAACUGAGACACGGUCCAGACUCCUACGGGAGGCAGCAGUGGGGAAUAUUGCACAAUGGGCGCAAGCCUGAUGCAGCCAUGCCGCGUGUGUGAAGAAGGCCUUCGGGUUGUAAAGCACUUUCAGCGAGGAGGAAGGUGGUGAGCUUAAUACGCUCAUCAAUUGACGUUACUCGCAGAAGAAGCACCGGCUAACUCCGUGCCAGCAGCCGCGGUAAUACGGAGGGUGCAAGCGUUAAUCGGAAUUACUGGGCGUAAAGCGCACGCAGGCGGUUUGUUAAGUCAAAUGUGAAAUCCCCGGGCUCAACCUGGGAACUG
rnacentral:rRNA from 1 species